rnacentral:misc_RNA from 1 species
UACUCAAGAUGAUCUGCUUCAUACAUUUUCGUAUUUGCCCCGGGAUCUUAACUUCAUUGAUCAUACAAGCAAAAUUGGAUGGAAAGAGUUCCAAAGGGCAAAGCCAAUUAUCGUUGAUCCGGGAUUGUAUGCGACUAAAAAGGCAGAUGUUUUCUGGAUUACACAGAGAAGAAGUGUGCCAACAGCUUUUAAGCUUUUUACUGGUUCUGCUUGGAUGGUCCUUUCUCGCUCUUUCAUUGACUUCUGCAUAUGGGGAUGGGACAACUUGCCCAGGACUGUUCUUAUGUACUAUGCAAAUUUUAUCUCCUCUCCAGAAGGUUAUUUCCAUACUGUCAUCUGUAAUGCUCAGGAGUUCCAAAAUACCACAGUAAACAGUGAUCUUCACUACAUAUCAUGGGACAACCCUCCAAAGCAGCAUCCGCAUUACCUUACAGUUGAGGACAUGCAAAAGAUGGUCGACAGUAAUGCUCCUUUUGCUAGAAAGUUCCAUAGGGAGGAUCCCGUGCUUGACAAAAUUGACUCUGAACUCCUAUUUCGAGGUAAAGACAGGCUUGUUCCUGGUGGGUGGUGCAUUGGAAGUCGGAAGAAUGGGACAGAUCCUUGCUCUGUCGCAGGAAAUAUCACCGCCCUCAAACCCACUUCAGGGGCAAAGAGGUUGGAGAAGUUGAUAGGAUCUCUUUUGUCAAAUGAUAAUUUCCGACCCAGACAGUGCAUAUAGCAAAAAACAUGCCUUAGAAAGUUGUUUUUCUUAAAUUUAUAGUCUUCAGAGGAAAGCAAGGAACAUCUGAAUGUAUCAAACCUGCAUUAAUGUUGUUUUCUGCAGAAAAGAAAAAAUUAUAG